GCCAAGGAGAGUUUGAUCCUGGCUCAGGAUGAACGCUGGCGGUGUGCAUAACACAUGCAAGUCGGACGGAGUUACGAGGAAGCGUUGUAGUGGGUAACUGUUG
rnacentral:rRNA from 1 species